UUUUCAUUUAGAGUGGAAGGUUUUCUACCGUGGACAAUAUUUAUUUAUUUGAGAAAAGAAAUUAUUAUUAGUUGGAAAACCCAAAAGAAGAGGAUAAACUAAUGAAGAACGGGGUUGCUUGCUUAACACGAGUUUCAAAGUUUGCCGGAAAACGAUUCUCUGGGGUGUCCUGCUUACCCAGAAACCAAACGGCUUAAGGGGAGCACUCUAUGGACUUUGUGGAAGUUCUUUAUCAUACGUAUUUGUUACAAAAGAAGGUUACUUACCAAACAGCAAGCAUUACGUUUCCCUUCACAUUUGAGGGAAUAAAGAUUCAAGUGUACAUGUAACCCGGAUUAAGGGUUGGUGGCAUAUUAGGCCGAUAUUGACCGCAACAAACGUGCACUCCAAGCGUUGUCCGCACUCUGCUCAGCUUCUAGCAAUUCAUGGUACAAUGAGAUGACCUUUGUGAUCGAACCCCCAUAUGACCAGUCAAGCCAUCGUCAAUUAAAGUCAACCGAUCUUAAUUGUUUCUUUCGGUAAACAAGUCAUAGCGAUCAGCUAUAUCUCA